rnacentral:rRNA from 1 species
CCUACGGGAGGCAGCAGUGGGGGAUAUUGCACAAUGGGGGAAACCCUGAUGCAGCGACGCCGCGUGUGGGAAGACGGUCCUCUGGAUUGUAAACCACUGUCCCCAGGGACUAAGAUGACGGUACCUGGUGAGGAAGCUCCGGCAAACUACGUGCCAGCAGCCGCGGUAAUACGUAGGGAGCGAGCGUUGUCCGGAAGUACUGGGUGUAAAGGGAGCGUAGGCGGGGAUGCAAGUUGGGUGUCAAAACUACCGGCUAAACUGGUAGUCGCAUCCAACACUGCAGCUCUUGAGUGAAGUAGAGGCAGGCGGAAUUCCUAGUGUAGCGGUGAAAUGCGUAGAUAUUAGGAGGAACACCAGUGGCGAAGGCGGCCUGCUGGGCUUUUACUGACGCUGAGGCUCGAAAGUGUGGGGAGCAAACAGGAUUAGAUACCCUUGUAGUC